AAAUAGUGACAUACUGAGCUCCUGUGGAUGGACAACAACCCCAGGAGCUGAAAAAACAAGCUGUGGAACAGAGGUAACUUGUCCCUGAACACAUGAAGAGCUGAAGUCAAAGAUGGGAAUGGGACUCAGAUGUCCAGCAUGAGCAGCUUGUGAUGACUGUCUGGGAAGGCACCUUGUGGAAAAAAGUUCUGAAACCCAGGAGGAAGGGAAGAGGCUUGAAAACCUUGCGUCUGAGCAGGGACAAGGAUGUGUCUGUUGGCAAAGGGUAUACAGCAGCCCAGUGCACUGUUAGUGAUGGAACUCUGCAGUACAAUGAUUUGAUGAGGCCAUGAUCUUGGAAAGAUACAAAAAGAGAUGGGCUGUUUCAGGCGAAUCAUGAAGAAAUCCUGAAAU